GCUUGCAGAGAGAAAUCA
rnacentral:snRNA from 1 species